rnacentral:rRNA from 1 species
AACGAACGCUGGCGGCAUGCCUAACACAUGCAAGUCGAACGAAGGCUUCGGCCUUAGUGGCGCACGGGUGCGUAACGCGUGGGAAUCUGCCCUUUGCUUCGGAAUAACAGUUAGAAAUGACUGCUAAUACCGGAUGAUGUCGCAAGACCAAAGAUUUAUCGGCAAAGGAUGAGCCCGCGUAGGAUUAGCUAGUUGGUGGGGUAAAGGCCUACCAAGGCGACGAUCCUUAGCUGGUCUGAGAGGAUGAUCAGCCACACUGGGACUGAGACACGGCCCAGACUCCUACGGGAGGCAGCAGUGGGGAAUAUUGGACAAUGGGCGAAAGCCUGAUCCAGCAAUGCCGCGUGAGUGAUGAAGGCCUUAGGGUUGUAAAGCUCUUUUACCCGGGAUGAUAAUGACAGUACCGGGAGAAUAAGCUCCGGCGAACUCCGG